CAAACAGGUGUCUGUUUUCUGGCUCUCCAUGCAAACUCAGUUCCAGAGAGCAGAUGGUAAUAGUUAGCUGCCUUCUGCACCUGCAUGGAUGAGAGCAGAUCUGAAGAACCUCUCCUGCAUGUUGAGUAGCUCAGAGCAAUAUUUAGAUGACCUUGUGGUUAACACAUAAGUAGCCAACUGCAUCCAGCCUGGCACUGACACUGUGGUGAUCACUUAUGGAGCAGAAUUCAAGGUAGAAAAUGUUUUGGGGAAACUAAGAUAAGGCAGGAUGAUCCAUGGCAUCACCUUCUAAAAAGGUAUCUCAGGAACAGUACCAGCAUAAAUGGACAAUACCUGCCCAGGUCUCCUCUGCCAAGUUUCAGGAAUUCUUACAGCAAUCACAUGAAUAAACUCAUUUGGUGUAUUUGCUGUCAGAAUUCAGCUAAGGGUUUGGGGACUUCUUAAUUAAACACAUUAAAGCAGUUAGAGCUAGUUUUCUAAACAUGCAUGGGGUUCCAUUGGUUAUUGGAUUAACCUAAUCUGUAACACCUGAGAGAAGGAAGGUGUGGGAGGGAGGGAUUUGAAGCCUGAGUUUUUUGAAGGUGAUAAACAGCCCGAGGACCAGUGAUCUAGAAAGAGAGGGAUUGAGAGAAAAAAAGAGAGAAAAGAGAGAUGAGGACUAAAAAGGGAAUUAAGGAACUUCUUGCAAAACAGGAAAAUCCAAGCAGCAUAAAGUCACUGAAAGAAAGGAGAAAUCAGUGAAGAGUAAGAAAAAUUUGGAAAUCACCAUUAAAAAAACAGUAGUUCAGGGAAAGAUGUAUAUUUGAGAAAGGUUUAAUUAUUCACUACCUGUUUCUAGUCAUGCUCUGAGAUUCAGACUUGAGGCUCUGACUCUCGAACAGAUCAAUAGCAGCUCUGGGCAGGUCAGGCAUUCACCUCCAGGGCAGAAGAGUCAAGCUUGCAGGUUUGGCCUCAGCUCACAGGCCAUUGCUUGCUCCAGUGUGCUGAACAUGAGGUCUAUGACCCCUUUCAGGCGGUUAUCUUCUUGGGGGUAUUUCUGCUCCUGGGCAUUUUUCACCACAUUGUACAACUUACUGGGGGGCAGAAUCACCUUUGAGUACCUGACUGGGUUCUAAGGGUCAAUGACUAGAAGGUCCAGGUACUUUUCCUGGAAGAACACUAAGACUACAGCAUCAUCAGCACGUCAGUGUCUCUGCGCAACGUGAAGGACAGCUCUUGUCUGGGACAUACUUUUUAGGUAAAAAGAGGAACCUAACAGAGAACUUAGUGAGUGGAUGAAAAUAAAUGAUUAUUCAGUUUUUUAAAAUACUGCA
rnacentral:lncRNA from 1 species